rnacentral:rRNA from 1 species
UGGGGAAUAUUGGACAAUGGGCGCAAGCCUGAUCCAGCCAUGCCGCGUGAGUGAAGAAGGCCUUAGGGUUGUAAAACUCUUUCGCCGGGGAAGAUAAUGACGGUACCCGGAGAAGAAGCUCCGGCUAACUUCGUGCCAGCAGCCGCGGUAAUACGAAGGGAGCUAGCGUUGUUCGGAAUUACUGGGCGUAAAGCGCACGUAGGCGGACUUGUCAGUCAGGGGUGAAAUCCCAAGGCUCAACCUUGGAACUGCCUCCGAUACAGCAAGCCUAGAGAUCGGGAGAGGUGAGUGGAAUUCCUAGUGUAGAGGUGAAAUUCGUAGAUAUUAGGAAGAACACCAGUGGCGAAGGCGGCUCACUGGCCCGAUACUGACGCUGAGGUGCGAAAGCGUGGGGAGCAAACAGGAUUAGAUACCCAGGUAGUCCCUGAGCGGGCUGGCAAGGCGCAU